rnacentral:rRNA from 1 species
ACGCUCGACACCUACGGGAGCAGCAGUGGGGGAUAUUGCACAAUGGGGGGAACCCUGAUGCAGCGACGCCGCGUGAGGGAAGAAGGUUUUCGGAUUGUAAACCUCUGUCCUCAGGGAAGAAGAUGACGGUACCUGAGGAGGAAGCCACGGCUAACUACGUGCCAGCAGCCGCGGUAAUCUGAGCGGGCUGGCAAGGC